rnacentral:rRNA from 1 species
GGUUAAGCGACUAAGCGUACACGGUGGAUGCCCUGGCAGUCAGAGGCGAUGAAGGACGUGCUAAUCUGCGAUAAGCGUCGGUAAGGUGAUAUGAACCGUUAUAACCGGCGAUUUCCGAAUGGGGAAACCCAGUGUGUUUCGACACACUAUCAUUAACUGAAUCCAUAGGUUAAUGAGGCGAACCGGGGGAACUGAAACAUCUAAGUACCCCGAGGAAAAGAAAUCAACUGAGAUUCCCCCAGUAGCGGCGAGCGAACGGGGAGGAGCCCAGAGCCUGAAUCAGUGUGUGUGUUAGUGGAAGCGUCUGGAAAGGCGCGCGAUACAGGGUGACAGCCCCGUACACAAAAAUGCACAUAUUGUGAGCUCGAUGAGUAGGGCGGGACACGUGGUAUCCUGUCUGAAUAUGGGGGGACCAUCCUCCAAGGCUAAAUACUCCUGACUGACCGAUAGUGAACCAGUACCGUGAGGGAAAGGCGAAAAGAACCCCGGCGAGGGGAGUGAAAAAGAACCUGAAACCGUGUACGUACAAGCAGUGGGAGCACAGAGCAAUCUGUGUGACUGCGUACCUUUUGUAUAAUGGGUCAGCGACUUAUAUUCUGUAGCAAGGUUAACCGAAUAGGGGAGCCGAAGGGAAACCGAGUCUUAACUGGGCGUUAAGUUGCAGGGUAUAGACCCGAAACCCGGUGAUCUAGCCAUGGGCAGGUUGAAGGUUGGGUAACACUAACUGGAGGACCGAACCGACUAAUGUUGAAAAAUUAGCGGAUGACUUGUGGCUGGGGGUGAAAGGCCAAUCAAACCGGGAGAUAGCUGGUUCUCCCCGAAAGCUAUUUAGGUAGCGCCUCGUGAACUCAUCUCCGGGGGUAGAGCACUGUUUCGGCAAGGGGGUCAUCCCGACUUACCAACCCGAUGCAAACUGCGAAUACCGGAGAAUGUUAUCACGGGAGACACACGGCGGGUGCUAACGUCCGUCGUGAAGAGGGAAACAACCCAGACCGCCAGCUAAGGUCCCAAAGUCAUGGUUAAGUGGGAAACGAUGUGGGAAGGCCCAGACAGCCAGGAUGUUGGCUUAGAAGCAGCCAUCAUUUAAAGAAAGCGUAAUAGCUCACUGGUCGAGUCGGCCUGCGCGGAAGAUGUAACGGGGCUAAACCAUGCACCGAAGCUGCGGCAGCGACGCUUAUGCGUUGUUGGGUAGGGGAGCGUUCUGUAAGCCUGCGAAGGUGUGCUGUGAGGCAUGCUGGAGGUAUCAGAAGUGCGAAUGCUGACAUAAGUAACGAUAAAGCGGGUGAAAAGCCCGCUCGCCGGAAGACCAAGGGUUCCUGUCCAACGUUAAUCGGGGCAGGGUGAGUCGACCCCUAAGGCGAGGCCGAAAGGCGUAGUCGAUGGGAAACAGGCUAAUAUUCCUGUACUUGGUGUUACUGCGAAGGGGGGACGGAGAAGGCUAUGUUGGCCGGGCGACGGUUGUCCCGGUUUAAGCGUGUAGGCUGGUUUUCCAGGCAAAUCCGGAAAAUCAAGGCUGAGGCGUGAUGACGAGGCACUACGGUGCUGAAGCAACAAAUGCCCUGCUUCCAGGAAAAGCCUCUAAGCAUCAGGUAACAUCAAAUCGUACCCCAAACCGACACAGGUGGUCAGGUAGAGAAUACCAAGGCGCUUGAGAGAACUCGGGUGAAGGAACUAGGCAAAAUGGUGCCGUAACUUCGGGAGAAGGCACGCUGAUAUGUAGGUGAAGUCCCUCGCGGAUGGAGCUGAAAUCAGUCGAAGAUACCAGCUGGCUGCAACUGUUUAUUAAAAACACAGCACUGUGCAAACACGAAAGUGGACGUAUACGGUGUGACGCCUGCCCGGUGCCGGAAGGUUAAUUGAUGGGGUCAGCGCAAGCGAAGCUCUUGAUCGAAGCCCCGGUAAACGGCGGCCGUAACUAUAACGGUCCUAAGGUAGCGAAAUUCCUUGUCGGGUAAGUUCCGACCUGCACGAAUGGCGUAAUGAUGGCCAGGCUGUCUCCACCCGAGACUCAGUGAAAUUGAACUCGCUGUGAAGAUGCAGUGUACCCGCGGCAAGACGGAAAGACCCCGUGAACCUUUACUAUAGCUUGACACUGAACAUUGAGCCUUGAUGUGUAGGAUAGGUGGGAGGCUUAGAAGUGUGGACGCCAGUCUGCAUGGAGCCGACCUUGAAAUACCACCCUUUAAUGUUUGAUGUUCUAACGUUGACCCGUAAUCCGGGUUGCGGACAGUGUCUGGUGGGUAGUUUGACUGGGGCGGUCUCCUCCUAAAGAGUAACGGAGGAGCACGAAGGUUGGCUAAUCCUGGUCGGACAUCAGGAGGUUAGUGCAAUGGCAUAAGCCAGCUUGACUGCGAGCGUGACGGCGCGAGCAGGUGCGAAAGCAGGUCAUAGUGAUCCGGUGGUUCUGAAUGGAAGGGCCAUCGCUCAACGGAUAAAAGGUACUCCGGGGAUAACAGGCUGAUACCGCCCAAGAGUUCAUAUCGACGGCGGUGUUUGGCACCUCGAUGUCGGCUCAUCACAUCCUGGGGCUGAAGUAGGUCCCAAGGGUAUGGCUGUUCGCCAUUUAAAGUGGUACGCGAGCUGGGUUUAGAACGUCGUGAGACAGUUCGGUCCCUAUCUGCCGUGGGCGCUGGAGAAUUGAGGGGGGCUGCUCCUAGUACGAGAGGACCGGAGUGGACGCAUCACUGGUGUUCGGGUUGUCAUGCCAAUGGCACUGCCCGGUAGCUAAAUGCGGAAGAGAUAAGUGCUGAAAGCAUCUAAGCACGAAACUUGCCCCGAGAUGAGUUCUCCCUGACUCCUUGAGAGUCCUGAAGGAACGUUGAAGACGACGACGUUGAUAGGCCGGGUGUGUAAGCGCAGCGAUGCGUUGAGCUAACCGGUACUAAUGAACCGUGAGGCUUAACCUU